rnacentral:rRNA from 1 species
UAAUGCUCCAUAGUGGAUAUGUCCUGGAAUGGUAUAUCCUCGAAAGAUCCGUCGCCUUAGGAUGGGACUGCGUCCGAUUAGGUUGUUGGCGGGGUAACGGCCCACCAAGCCAUUGAUCGGUACGGGUUGUGGGAGCAAGAUCCCGGAGAUGGAUUCUGAGACAUGAAUCCAGGCCCUACGGGGCGCAGCAGGCGCGCAAACUUUACAAUGCGAGCAAUCGUGAUAAGGAAACCCUGAGUGCCUGUCGAUGCAGGCUGUUCAUAUAUCUAAAUCAUAUGUGAAGAAAGGGCAGGGCAAGACCGGUGCCAGCCGCCGCGGUAAUACCGGCUGCUCGAGUGAUGGCCACUAUUACUGGGUUUAAAGCGUCCGUAGCUUGACUGUUAGGUCUCUUGGGAAAUCUUCACGCUCAACGUGAAGGCGUCUAAGAGAUACCGGCAGUCUUGGAACUGGGAGAGGUAAACCGUACUUCGGGGGUAGGAGUGAAAUCUUGUAAUCCUCGAGGGACGACCUAUGGCGAAGGCAGUUUACCAGAACAGCUUCGACAGUGAGGGACGAAAGCUGGGGGAGCAAACGGGAUUAGAUACCCCGGUAGUCCCAGCCGUAAACAGUGUGCGUUAGGUGU